GGAUGUGAGGAUAAUCUGGCUGCAACAUCUGUCACCCCACUGAUGGCCUGGGUUGAUUCAGCUGAGCUGGCUGUCUAGGCACCUGUCCCCUUACUCCCUCACCUCUCCAUGUACAUCUCUAUUGAAGCUGCAUGCUUGGUUGAAGAGGACAACCACCCAAUAGAGGAGAACCAUUUCCUUGACCAAAGGUACACAAGUAGCUGCACUCCCCAGCGAGAACCUCCAAACAAGCUCUGAAGAUAAAUAUAGAUUUAUGAACCUUGGCUUAGUUAUGUGGGUUUGUUGAGUUAAAAAAGUAAAAUAUAUAUAUUUUUAGCAAGGGACAUGAACAAAUACAUUUGAUAGUCACU
rfam:Cavia porcellus supercont2_78 genomic scaffold, whole genome shotgun sequence.